rnacentral:rRNA from 1 species
GUGAUGAAGGCCUUCGGGUUGUAAAGCUCUGUGGGGAGGGAAGAAUAAGUUCAGGUCAAUACCCUGAAUGAUGACGGUACCUCCUUAGCAAGCACCGGCUAACUCUGUGCCAGCAGCCGCGGUAAGACAGAGGGUGCGAACGUUGUUCGGAAUUACUGGGCGUAAAGCGCGUGUAGGCGGCAAGGCAAGUCGGAUGUGAAAUCCCGUGGCUCAACCAUGGACGUGCACUCGAAACUGCCUAGCUAGAGUCCCGGAGAGGAAGGCGGAAUGCUUGGUGUAGAGGUGAAAUUCGUAGAUAUCAAGCAGAACACCUGUGGCGAAGGCGGCCUUCUGGACGAUGACUGACGCUGAGACGCGAAAGCGUGGGGAGCAAACAGGAUUAGAUACCCUGGUAGUCCACGCCGUAAACGAUGAGUGCUAGGUAUCACGGGCUUUGACCCCCGUGGUGCCGAAGCUAACGCGAUAAGCACUCCGCCUGGGAAGUACGGCCGCAAGGCUA